AGACUAAGCCAUGCAUGUCUUCGAAUAGAAGAGCUUUCUCUCUGAAUCUGCGAACGGCUCCGCAAACCAGUUGUAAACUAUAGCAAGUCCGUACGGUUAGGGAGCAAUCCUUAGCUGUACUCACAGGGAUAACCCUGGUAAUCCUGAGGCUAAUACAAGAACGUAAAACUCGGUCGACUGGGCAACCGGAAGGCUGAGGGUCGUGUGACGCUUUACUGCAACGCUCGACAUGAAUGAGUGCACGAUCAAACCACCAUACCAAACGGAUUAGUCGGGAAGCCUUAACGGGUGGAACGGUUAGCUCGGGUGGGUCUUGCUGUGUGCUUCUGACCUAUCAACUAGAUGGCAGCGUAAAGGACAUGCUAUGGUGACAACGGGUACAGAGGAUAAGGGUUCGAUCCUGGAGAGUGGGCCUGAGAGAUUGCUCACACUUCUAAGGAAGGCAGCAGGCGCGUAACGUUCCCAUUGGGCAAAGCCUGAGGGCGUUAGGGGACAUAUGAAUGCUUGCCUUAUGGUAGGCAAUUCAAAUGGGUUUGUUCUAAACAGCCUAUCGAGUAACAAUUAGAGGACAAGUCUGGUGCCAGCACCCGCGGUAAUUCCAGCUCUAAUAGCAUACGUUAAAGUUGUUGCGGUUAAAACGCUCGUAGUCGGCAACAGAUCUUCAGAACCUCGAUUCACGAAGCGAGUCAGCUGCCCCGGUCAAGGGCGCGUCGUGGAGAGUUGAGAGGCAGACGUCGAUCAAACGCUUCCUGGUUCACUCCUUCGGGUUUAAAAGGAUGGUAGGUUGGGCUUAACGGCUUGGCUUAUCGUCUGGACUGGGUCGCCAAUCACUAUGAUUAAACUAUAGUGAUCAAAGCGGGUCAUUACGACACGCAUAGCACAGCAUAGUAUGAACAAGCUGGCCGAGUCCUAGUUGCGGGGAUUGAGCUAAGCAGUUGCGAAAGGGAUGUUCGAGGGUGACCGAAUUGCCGGGCGAGUGGUGAAAUACGUUGACCCUGGCAAGUCGACCAAAGGCGAAAGCAGUCAUCAAGGGCAUGCCCGUUGAUCAAGAGCGAAAGUUAAGGGUUCGAAGACGAUCAGAUACCGUCGUAGUCUUAACUAUAAAUGAUACAAACCAGGGAUGAGACACUGUCCAUCUCGACUCCUUUCGAACCUUAGAGAAAUCAGAGUCUUUGGGUUCUGGGGGGAGUAUGGUCGCAAGGCUGAAACUUAAAGGAAUUGACGGAAGGGCACACAAAGAGUGGAACCUGCGGCUUAAUUUGACUCAACACGGGAAAACUCACCAGGUCCGGAUACACGUAUGAAAGUCAAGCUGAAAGACUUUACUCAAUGAUGUAAGUGGUGGUGCAUGGUCGUUCGUAGUUCGUGGAUUGAUUUGUCUGGUUUAUUCCGAUAACGAGCGAGACCCCAACGUUCCUAAUAGGGGCUUUAGCCCAGUGCGUCGCAAGGCGUACUAGCUAUCGCUUAAAGAUUUGCUUCUUAGACGUAUCAGAGCCGAUAAGGCGCUUGAAAUGGGUUAAUAACAGGUCAGUGAUGCCCUUAGAUGUUCUGGGCCGCACGCGCGUUACAAUGGCAUGUAAAACGAGUGCUUCUCCAAAGGCUUUGCCGGGGCUGAAAGGUCUCGGUAAUCCUUAAUCCCUGCCUUGACUGGGAUAGAUCAUUGCAAUUAUUGGUCUCCAACGAGGAAUUUUUAGUAGGCGCAGGUCAUUAACCUGCGUCGAAUGCGUCCCUGCCCUUUGUACACACCGCCCGUCGCUGCUACCGAUUGAAUUUUCCAGUUACGCGUUCAGAGCAUGAUGGUAUCGACUCGCAAGGGUUGGUCUAUCGGGCAAAGUCCUAAUUACUGCACGGUUUAGAGGAAGCAGAAGUCG
rnacentral:rRNA from 1 species